rnacentral:rRNA from 1 species
UACGGAGGGUGCGAGCGUUGUCCGGAAUCACUGGGCGUAAAGGGCGCGUAGGCGGCCUGAUAAGUAGGGGGUGAAAUCUUGCGGCUUAACCGCAAGGCUGCCUUCUAAACUGUCAGGCUAGAGCACAGUAGAGGCAGGUGGAAUUCCUGGUGUAGCGGUGGAAUGCGCAGAUAUCAGGAGGAACACCGGUGGCGAAGGCGGCCUGCUGGGCUAUGGCUGACACUGAGGCGCGACAGCGUGGGGAGCAAACAGG